CAACUUCCGACCUACAAAUAUGAGGUUAAGUUUGCGAUGGUUCCAAAAUCAAAGAGUUAACUUUGAUCAACGUGAUGCCCGCGAUGGAAAGGCGAAAAAAGGAUAUUAUUAUUUACUAGCAUUUCUUGCAGUUACUGUGCCAAGUAUCUACUUCGCAAUUAUACAACCAAUGAUGAAUCCGACAAAAUGGCAAAAGAUUUCCAACGAGGCACGCAGAGGCAUUGACAGAGAACAGAUUCAACCUGGUGGCAUGGACAUGUGGAGUGAUCCGUUUAAGAAGAAACCCAAGUCACAGUGAUGGAAUGGUGUACGUGUUGUGUUGUUGACUUUUACCACUCGCCUGAGGGUACACUCUUGUAGUUGCUGGUGUGUUGUGUCACAGACAUUGGUUUGAAUCCUUCUGCUGGACAGUGGUCACAAUAGACUGAGAUAUGUCUGACGGAAUGUUCAUGACUUGAAUUAAAAUACAAAGUUAAAUUCAGGUUGUUUACAUCACCUGGAUUGCUCAUAGUGUACAUAUGCUGGGAAACCCUCAACAUUUGAUAAAAUUUCAUUAAUGUAUGGUAACAAUGAUAAUCUCUUAAUUUUUAUGCCCUUGGUAGCGUGGCAUAAAGCAGUUGAACUGUCCGUCAGUAUGUCGGUCUGUCUGUCGGUCUGAAAACUUUAAUGGCCAUAACUUUUUCAAUAUUGAAGAUUGCAACUUUAUAUUUGGCAUGCAUGUUCAUCUCACGGAGCUGCACAUUUUGAGUGGUGAAAGGUGAAGUUCAAGGUCAUCCUUUAAGGACAGACGCCAUAUAUUUGACAUUUGACCUUGAAGUAUGACCUUGACCUUUCACCACUCAAAAUGUUCAGCUCCAUGAGAUACACAUGCAUGCCAAAUAUCAAGUUGCUAUCUUCAAUAUUGAAAAAGUUAUGGCCAACGUUAAAGUUUUCGGACGGACAGAUGCCAUAUAUUUGACAUUUGACCUUAAAGGAUGACCUUGAACUUGAAAACUUUAACAUUGGCCAUAACUUUUUCAAUAUUGAAGAUAGCAACUUGAUAUUUGGCAUGCAUGUGCAUCUAAUUCAGCUGCACAUUUUGAGUGGUGAAAGGUGAAGGUCAAGGUCAUCCUUCAAGGUCAAGGUCAAAUUUUGCAAUAUUGAAGAUAGCUAAUCGAUAUUUGGCAUUGAUGCAUAUAUAAUCGAGCUGCACAUUUUGAGUGGUGAAAGGUCAAGGUUAAGGUCAAUGGUCAAAUUUUGCAAUAUUGAAGAUAGCAACUCGAUAUUUGGCAUAGAUGCCUAUCUCAUGGAGCUGCACAUUUUGAAAGGUGAAAUGUCAAGGUCAAUUUCAUCCUUCAAGGUCAAAUGUCAAAUAUAUGGCAUCUGUACGUCCGAAAACUUUAACAUUGGCCAUAACUUUUUCAAUAUUGAAGAUAGCAACUUGAUAUUUGGCAUGCAUGUGCAUCUCAUGGAGCUGCACAUUUUGAGUGGUGAACGGUCAAUGGUCAAAUUUUGCAAUAUUGAAGAUAGCAACUUGAUAUUUGGUAUUCAUGCAUAUCUCAUGGAGCUGCACAUUUUGAAAGGUGAAAUGUCAAGGUCAUCCUUCAAGGUCAAAGGUUAGGGUCAAAGGUCAAUUUUUGCAAUAUUGAAGAUAGCAACUCGAUAUUUUGCAUACAUGCAUAUCUCAUGGAGCUGCACAUUUUGAAAGGUGAAAUGUCAAGGUCAUCCUUCAAGGUCAAACGUCAAAUACUAGUAUAUGGCUUCAAAGCGAGCAGUAGGGGGGCAUUGUGUUUCACGAACACAGCUUUUGUUUAACAUUGUUAUCCACAUUUCCAAUAACACAUAAAUUUAUAAAUAAUGCUUUGUUGUGUACUAAAAAAUAGAAUUUAACUGUUAUUUUUACAGCAAUGAUACAUAGUAUUACAAUGUUUUCCCAAACUACCAGCUUUGUAAUGGUCGCAUAGAUUUCAUAAAUAUAAAUCUUCCUAUUUCAGUCAUACAUUUGUAUCAGGUACCUUUUGCAUGUAGCAAUUUGCUGGCAUACAAUUAAAUUUUCUGGGAGCAUUCAGAUAUAUUACGGUAAUUAUAUUGGGUGUCCCAGCAUGUAGCAAAAGUACAGCACUAGUUAUGUGUGUUGUGUUAUUUUUUUUAGGUAAUUUGUAUCCAUCAGGAUUAAAACAAGAAUAACAGGCAGUUAAAUUAACAAACGUUUUAAUAGUUAUACAAUAUAUUAUUUUCAAACAAAUUCGUAGUAAAUAGUUUAUAUGUGAAUAUGAAAUUUAUGAUUUUGUUAAUGCUAUUUAUGUAAAUAAAUUAUUAAUUUAUA